ACAGCAAAAGAUUCUUUUUGACAGAAUCUGGUACAUCAAAAUCAAAUUUUUCGGCCGCAACACAAAAUUUUACCAAAAAACAAGCUAAGUAUUUAUCCGUCCAAGAAAACAAGUCAAACAAUUAUACAAUGUAAUUUAAAUACCUACUCAAAAUCAAGAAAAGGCCGAACACCCGAAAUUGAUAACCAUGGUCAGCCGUGGACCAUGGGCCUGAUUCAAUACGCAUUGCUGUUGGUUUCUGCUGUACUCGCUCUGGUGACGGGAGCCAUCGGCUGCACCAGGAAGACGUAUUGCGUGUAGGGAACCUUCGCCCUGUAAGAAGUAAUUGAUGCACAAUGGCUAAAAUCAACUGGGCAUUCAUAUACUCAAUGCUGAUGAUCUUGUUCACUAUAUUCUCGGUUGGAAGUGGUUGUAAAAAGACUAUUCCAUGUACGGGCAGGGCUCCUUGCAAGAAAGGGCCUUUUAGGACCUGAAGAAUUACCUGGAACCCAAAUAUCUGAAAAUUUUCCUAAAGAGAAACUGUAAAAAAAUCAAUGAAAAACCUACAGGGGAAAUAAAGCGAUACGAUUUUAUGGAACAAAAUAUUCUGUCUAAAAGGAAAAUAAUUUGAAAAACUUUGGGUAUGGUCAACGGUGGACUAAAUAACUUUUAGAAGAAAUGUUGUGACGAUAAAGAUUUAAAAUAUAAAAAUCGUUGAGUCAAAAUAUUUAGAAAUCUUUGUGCGUAGAAAAUUAAUAUGUAUUUUGAACUGAGAAAUAUGGACUUAACAUCUCCCGUCCAUAUAAUAGUGCAAAAUGAUUCAGAUAAUAACAGAAAUACAAUACCGAACCCAAUUAAAAUUAAAUACCUAUCAAAUGAAAUUUAUAAAGGACAUGGAUAUUAUACGAUAACUGAUAAAGAUGUUUUACGUCAAUUUUGGAGGGCGGUCCGAAAUAGACCUAAAGUGAAAUAGAUUAGACCAUCUGAAUUUCCAAAUGGGCAAUAUUGUUAUUUAUGUGUUCAAUAAUUCAAUUUCUUGUAUCUGUUUUAUGGGAAAUACAUAACUGUUUAAUAUGGAGGAGUAUCAAUAAAUUUAAAACUAUGAACAUGAAACUUUGAAGUUAAAUCAUCCUAAAAAAAAAGUUAAUCCUAUUUGGUUCAGCAAGUAUUUGGAGUUUGAGAAUUCAGUUCAAGACCCAUAAUCCUGAAGUUGUGUUAUAUGAUGCACGGUUGGCGACAGCUGGUGGCAGUGCUGCUUCUUGUGGUAACUCUCCUGCAACUUGUGGCUGCUUGUGGAACGAGGACGAUCACGUGUAAUCCUGCCAACCCACCCUGCAAGAAAUAAGUAAAAUGCAGUACCUCAACCCGUUCGUGCUGGUAUUGCUACACAUCGCAGUGUCGGUGUUGGAGCUGAUGCGCGGCUGUCGGCCGGCCAUUGAGCGUUGCCGCGACGCGCACUGCUUCCCUUGCAACCAGUUCGGGGGACCCAAAGUACGACGAACCGGCAAUACCAAGGUACGGAUCCCUAAAAACACGCAAGGCACGCUGUGACGGCUGAGGUUGGAGGAGGUGCCUCCAGAACAUCUUCCGAUGCUUCCUGCAGGUCUUCAUCUCUGACACUGUCACCGUAGUCAAGGCAUUCGGAAUUAAUGAAAAUAUAGAAACCUCUCCGCCGUUAAUUAACUUCGCAAAAUAAUUAUAAAAUGUUAAUGAAGAUGAAGAGCUUGAUUAUUGUACUUAUCUUAUAUUUUCAAUAAAAUAUAAUUAUUAUGAACUGAA